UUUUUUAAUGUAACCUGUUUUAUUGGGCUCUCGGCGUAUUCUUGCGUUCCUUCUGCACUGGGACAAGACACCACUGCACUAUUGGACUACGGCAAGCUGGUGCCGUCCGGUGGAGCUUCAUACAGGAACUACUGCCUUACCUGCUGGUGUCACAACGUUGGAUGAACGCACAAAAAGCGCGGAACGAGCUUUUAUAUAGAGCAAAAUAAAUAUUUCCUCAUUGCACAAAA